ensembl:antisense Grip1os1 glutamate receptor interacting protein 1, opposite strand 1
GUGAGGAAAUUUUUUAUUUACUUUUGUACCCACAUGCACCUGAGCAGACACACAGUAUUCCUGAAAUAGACACACAGCGGAGCCUAUGAUUCCUGAAAUAACAGUUCUGGUCACUGAGCAUCUAAAUCCUAGAUCAAGAACCUGCCUUGAACAAAUAUAGUUUUGGAUGUGUGUAAAGAACAGUGGGGACAAUAAGGCUUGCCUCUCCUAAAAGACCUCAGACCUGCUCAUGAUCCAGCCACUGUCCAGCUCUGGAGGAGCCAGCCCAGACUAGAGUCAAUGUCAGUUUUGUCCAGUGCUCUUCAGCUUGGUAAAUAUCUUCAAUAUCAUCCCUGCUAAGACACGGUCUGCAAUAAGUGCUGAGCGCUCCCUUUCCUUGGCCUUCCAUUUUCUGAGUCAUUCUGAGUAUCUGCCAUGAGUUAACCUACAUGAUUGCUGGCUGCAUGACCCCCUUCCCUCUUUACGCUCAAACAAAUCAAGGGAUGGAUGAGUUUUGAAUGUCCAGCCUGUGGCAGUUGCUCAAUAAAUGUUUGUUGAGUUGAAUUCAGCUAGAAUGUUCCAUUUUCAUGACAAAGCAUCCCAGGGUGAUUACUGCAGCUGUGGAAGCCUUCUGAAAAAUUGAAUCCUUUGGGCUCCUUAGGAGCUCCUGAGGAGGAACAAAGGAACUGAAUGUAGUAAUGCAUUCAGGCCAAGGAAUCAAUCAGAGACUGGCUGAGUAUGCCUAACCGAAAGUUGAUGAGAGUCUGAAGGACCCUCGUCGACACUUGGAAUAUUUUGCUGGUUCAUUUCUAGCAAAUCUUUGGCACCAGACCAUACAAUGUGUAUCUACAGUUCACAGGUUUAAAUACGCUUCAGCAGCUACCGAGCAGCGUUUUUAAAAAGCAGAAAGGAAACUUGAUAAUUAAAGAUUCAUAAAACAAUCUAGGAAAUCAACAUGGAAAGACCAUCAGUGGUUCUGAAAACUGAACACCAUGUAUAAAUGCUGUAUCUCGGAAGGUCCCAUCAAGUCCAAUAGUAUCAGGAGCUGAGAUCCAAGCCUUCAAUAUGAGUCUUUGGAAGAAAUCCACUAUCCUUAUUGUUACAAACAGUGAUGUUAUAGCGUGGCCCAGGGAAACAAGAAAUGCCUGAGUGACAUGCUAAUCCUAAAGGGCUGUCCAAGGAACUUAUUAAUCAAAUAAAGCUUCUUACUAAAG